rnacentral:lncRNA from 1 species
GAGUUAUCUCCCCGAACACUGUUUUUCUUGUGGCCACUACUCCUUCGCAACCGUAUAAGAAACCGACAAAUUUAUUUUUCCAAAUUGCUCGUUAUAUCCCUAGGAUGUUCUGUUUCAUUUCAACCGAAGCUAUCUGGAGACUCCAUAUGAGAGUUAUCCCCCCUUUUAUAUAUGAUAUCAGUGAUAUGCAUUUAUUACUGGUAAACUAUAAGUGAUAGAGACCUAGGGUCUUUUGAUUUAAGAUCCUUGGUCCAAAAAAAUGAAAAUUAGGUCAAGGUCAAAGGUCAAGGUCAAAUUCUAAAUUUUGAUUUUGGCUUAUUUUCACUUAUUCUCGUAAACUUUAUAAGAUUUCGACAAAUUCUUUUAAGUAAAUUGUUAGUUGCGACAUGUCGUAACUUAAAAUUUUUGAUUGGAAGGGUGCGUAGACAAUAAACGGGAGUUUUUGCCCCUCUUAUAUUUAGAAUUAUGCAUAAAGUGAUAUUACUCAUGAACCAUACAUACUACUGACCUAGGGUCUUUUGAUUUGGGAUCCUUGGUUUAUGACCUUGAAAUUGGGGUCAAGGUCAUAGGUUAAUUGGACGUUCUAGAUUUUGACCUUUGCUCGAAAUUCAUAUUUUCAUAUCAUAAAGCCAUAGCAACUGACAUUUUCAACUGAAUCUUAAUAUUUUCAUAUCAAAAUAGAUCCUUAUUGGUUGAAAGACCUUCAAUUGUUCUUUGAACAAUUGGUUUUUAAUUAUUAUUAUUAUUAUUUUUUUUUUUUUUUUCUUCCGCCUAAUUUUUUUUCUUGCGUAUUAUUGAUGUUUCAAAAGAUGUCGCUUAGAUAUUUGGAAUAUGGUAUCGUAUAGUUUAUACGCUUUAAAAAUUUACAACUGUGUAACAAACUACUUUACGUUGUAAGGUUAUCUCCCCAAACACUGUUUUUCUUGUGGCCACUACUCCUUCGCAACCGUUAAAGAUUACGACAAAUUUAUUUUACCAAAUUGCUCGUUGCAUCUUCAGGAUUAGGAUAUUCAUUUGGACCGAAGCUUUACGAGACUCCAUAUGAGAGUUAUUCCCCCUUUUCCCUUAAAUUAAGUGAUAUGCAUUUCUAAAUGGUAAACCAUAAGUGAUAAAGACAUAGGGUCUUUAGAUUUGGGGUCCUUGGUCGAAAAUAAUAAAAAUGAGGUCAAGGUCAAAGGUCAAGGUCAUAUUCUAAAUUUUGAUUUUGGCUUAUUUUAUUUAUUCUCAAAUACCUUAUGACAUAUCGACAAAUAAUUU